GAUGAACGCUGGCGGCGUGCUUAACACAUGCAAGUCGAACGAUGAAGCCCAGCUUGCUGGGUGGAUUAGUGGCGAACGGGUGAGUAACACGUGAGUAACCUGCCCUUGACUCUGGGAUAAGCCUGGGAAACUGGGUCUAAUACUGGAUAUGACUUCUCAUCGCAUGGUGGGGGGUGGAAAGAUUUAUUGGUCUUGGAUGGACUCGCGGCCUAUCAGCUUGUUGGUGAGGUAAUGGCUCACCAAGGCGACGACGGGUAGCCGGCCUGAGAGGGUGACCGGCCACACUGGGACUGAGACACGGCCCAGACUCCUACGGGAGGCAGCAGUGGGGAAUAUUACACAAUGGGCGCAAGCCUGAUGCAGCGACGCCGCGUGAGGGAUGACGGCCUUCGGGUUGUAAACCUCUUUCAGUAGGGAAGAAGCGAGAGUGACGGUACCUGCAGAAGAAGCGCCGGCUAACUACGUG
rnacentral:rRNA from 1 species